rnacentral:lncRNA from 1 species
CCGAGAAGCUCAGGGAAGAAACUCAAACAGGAAUGCAACGCAGAAACCAUGGAGGAAUUAAUGCUACUUGCUGACUUCCUUUCUGGCUCACUUACUGGUUCAGACACUGACUCGUGCUUAGCUAAUUUUCUUCUACAUCGCAAGAUUACCUGCUCAGGGCUGGUUCCUUCUACCAUGAGCUAGACCCUCUUGCAUUAGCAUCUGAGAAAAUCGCCCACAGACUAUCAUCUAGACCAUUCCUCAACAGAGGCUUUCCCCUGAAGAUGGCUAGGUUAUGGACACAGAACAUAACAAUAUGCAAUCAACUUGGGCAUGAGAAAGUUGCCUAGUAACAGCAGAAACAACAGAUGAGAAGUUUCCUUAUAAUAUCCAUAAAAGCACUAAAUGAAAAGCUACCCAGGAUAUGUGAAGAAAAGUCAAAGAAAAUAGCAAUUGCAAAAUGAACUACCAAUGCUUUAAAUAUGUCAUGAUCUCAUACAAUUCAAUUAAAUGAACCUGAUGAAAAGGGGAUUAAAGAUGGUAUCUCAGAUCCAAACCAUAGCAAGUUACAGUCCGGAGUCAAACAAAUGGUUUAUUUCCCUCUGCAUCUUUUCCUGUAAUUAUUUCCUUAACUCAUGGCUGUCACUUUGACUUUAAGGCAAAAGCAGAGGAAAUGUGGUGUUUGAAUUUAUGCCAGAGCAAUUUUUUCCUGCCUUGGAGAAAGAUAAUAUU